CAAUGAAGUGGAGAAGUGCAAAGGAAUAGGAAGGGAGAUACCAGAUGGCAAUGGGGGCCGGUGAAUAUAAUCACAGUAAAGUAAAGUAAAGAGAGGGUCCAAGACUUACCCAAGGUCUCUACACUCUUGUCCAAGGUCAACGGAGGCGAGCAUACCCUGGAAGCUGUUUCAUUGUGUGUCCCCAUCACGGUCUUGACAUCUUCCCCUCUCUCUUCAAAUGGACCAAACCACUCUGGUUAAAACUGAGUGACUCGCUUGCUUGCUCCUCCCAGGAGUCUGGGCAGCCGGGAAAUGAACAAGGCGCCUCCUACUACGCUGAACAAUAUGAAAAACAACACCUUUUCUUGGCUAUGUGAUGGGAGAUGACAGGACCACAAGUGGGAAGACUUGCAAGUGGGGCAGAAUUACAGCUUACCAAACAGAACCCCAUGUUCAGAAAUUGCCGAGGGAACCAGGAUCUGGGUGAACAGAUAUGGGUGUCAGUGGUGCGACGUUAGGGGUUCAACACGGGCAAACAUGAGAAAAUAAAAACUUCAAGAGAACCCAGACAUAGGAAAGCUCAGAACAUUCAUGAGUUUUGGUUCCUGGAGAUC